UGACCGCUGGCGGCGUGCCUAAUACAUGCAAAUCGAGCGAACAGAUGAGGAGCUUGCUCCUCUGACGUUAGCGGCGGACGGGUGAGUAACACGUGGAUAACCUACCUAUAAGACUGGGAUAACUUCGGGAAACCGGAGCUAAUACCGGAUAAUAUAUUGAACCGCAUGGUUCAAUAGUGAAAGACGGUUUUGCUGUCACUUAUAGAUGGAUCCGCGCCGCAUUAGCUAGUUGGUAAGGUAACGGCUUACCAAGGCAACGAUGCGUAGCCGACCUGAGGGUGAUCGGCCACACUGGAACUGAGACACGGUCCAGACUCCUACGGGAGGCAGCAGUAGGGAAUCUUCCGCAAUGGGCGAAAGCCUGACGGAGCAACGCCGCGUGAGUGAUGAAGGUCUUCGGAUCGUAAAACUCUGUUAUUAGGGAAGAACAAAUGUGUAAGUAACUAUGCACGUCUUGACGGUACCUAAUCAGAAAGCCACGGCUAACUACGUG
rnacentral:rRNA from 1 species